AAUUAAAUUCCACCUUUUACGGGGGCUGGUCGGGUUGUUCUGGGAGGUCCCGGACGGGGAUCGGUAUGGGGGGGUCUCACCCCAUUGAAAUGAAUGGGAGGGGUCUCGCGCCAUUUGAAAUGAAUGGGAAGGGUCCUCACCGCCAUUGAAAUGAAUGGGCGGCUCUACAGCCAUUGAAAUGAAUGAGGAGAGGCUCUCACCCCAUUGAAUGAAUGGGGGGGGUCUCAGCCCAUUGAAAUGAAUGGGAAGGGGGGGGUCCUAUGGAUCCUAUGGGGGGUCCUAUGGGUCCUAUGGAUCCUAUGGGGGGUCCUAUGGGUCCUAUGGGGGGUCCUAUGGGUCCUAUGGAUCCUAUGGGGGUUCCUAUGGGUCCUAUGGAUCCUAUGGGGGGUCCUAUGGGUCCUAUGGAUCCUAUGGGGGGUCCUAUGGGUCCUAUGAAUCCUAUGGGGUGGUCCUAUGGAUCCUAUGGGGGGUCCAAUGGGUCCCUAUGGAUGGUCCUAUGGGUCCUAUGUAUUCUAUGGGGGGUCCUGGUGGAUCCUAUGGGGUCUAUGGACCUUAUGGGGGGGUCUAUGGGUUCCUAUGAUACCUAAUGGGGCGUCCUAUGGGUCCUUGUUGGGGGGUCCUAUGGAUCCUAUGGGGGGUCCUAUGGUCCUAUGGGGGGUCCUAUGGGUCCUAUGGAUGGUCCCUAUGAGGUCCUAUGGGGGGUCCUAUGGGGGGCUCUCACCCCAUUGAAAUGAAUGGGAGGGCUCUCACCCCAUUGAAAUGAAUGGGGAGGGCUCUCACCCCAUUGAAAUGAAUGGGGCCCCUCACCCCAUUAAAAUGAAUGGGAAGGGGGGGGGGGGUCCUCUUUCUUCCCUUACCCCACCCCCCCUAUAAUUAAUUCCACCUUUAGCGGGUGUUCGGGUUGUUCGGGGUCCGGAGGGAUACGGUAUGGGGGGUCUCGCCCCAAUUGAGAAUGCAAUGGGAGGGUCCCUCGACCCAGUUGGAACAUGAAUGGGGGGCUGCUAAGCCAUUGAAAAUGAAUGGGAGGGGUCUCACCCCAUUGAAAUGAAUGGGGCCUCUCACCCCAUUGAAAUGAAUGGGGACUCUAAGCCCAUUGAAAUGAAUGGGGGGCUCUAACAGCCCAUUGAAAUGAAUGGGGGGGGUCUCAAGGCCAUUGAAUGAAUGGGAGGGUUCCACCCCAUUGAAGAAUGGGAAAGGGGGGGGGUCCUAUGGAUCCUAUGGGGGGGGGUGUGUCCUAUGGGUCCUAUGGGGGGUCCAUUGGGUCCAUAUGGGGUUCUUAUGGUCCUAACGGCGUCCUAUGGGGGGUUCAUGGGUCUCUAUGGGGGUCCUAUGGUCCCUAUGGAAUCUAGGGGGUUCCUAUGGUCCUAUGGGGGGGAUUCUCACCCCAUUGGAAAUGAAUGGGCCCCUCCGGCCAUUGAAAUGAAUGGGAAGGGGGGGGGGGGGGGGUCUCUUCCUUCCCCUACCCACCCCCCACCCUAUAAUUAAUUCCACCCUUAGGGGGUGUCGGGUUGUUUCGGGGGUCCCGCAGGGAUCGGGGUCGGGCAUUGGAAAGCUUGGGGUCGGCCCUAACAACAUCACGU
ensembl:lncRNA